UGAGCAGAAUGAGAAGAGAGAAGAAAGCCGCUCAUACUAAGGCAGUUUCACAGGAAGUGUGUAACGUGUGUGCGAACACAAGCAAGAGAGGAGAGAGAAAGUAACAUGAGUGAUAUCACCAACACAUAUGUACAGCAGAAGAACCCGAGAGAGGUGAGAAGAGGAAGUUAAAGGAAGAUUUUACUGAUCGUCACAGACCAGGGGUCACGGACCAAUCUGCAGGCCUGUGUGACCGGGGCUGUUUUCCUCACAACUAGUGGAUGCCAGACGGCUGCAGACCAGUCUUCCCUGUGUGGCUGAGGCCUCAUUGUUACAAACAA